CUCUAAUUAUGUGACGUCACGAAUACACUGCGCCCCCACCAUGUUGAAUUUCGAGUCACGAAAUUGCACGAGAAUAGACGAGUUGGACCGAAAGAGAGGGUGGGAGAGAGAGAGAGGUGCGGAAUAAAGUCGAAUGGAUUAGAGGUCUUCGAGCUUACGAGGUCUCGCAAUGCAGUGAUACCAGCGAGUAGUUAUUCAGGAGCAAACGAACGAACGACCUUGACAUUGACUUCAACAGACAUUGGUUUUACGUGGAUUCCAUUUUAAUUUCAAGGACAUUCGCUAAGACGAUUUAUCAAAAAAAUAUCAUGAAAAACAACGGUCUCAAAACGGUGGUUGGUAUUGCGAGGCCUUACCGUGGCGUAAUCGAGAGCCGGCUGUCGCCAAGGGCUCUUUUCAACGGAGGCACCCGCCCUCGCCGCCCCCAGAACCCGCACUGC